GUCGCUGUUGGUCCGCGGGCCGAAGUAGUCCUCGGGCUUGACGCGCGCGAAGAAGUCGAGUUCUUCGUUCUCGAUGGCGACC
rnacentral:tRNA from 1 species